rnacentral:lncRNA from 1 species
UCGUGCAUGCCGAUGAGGCUCCGUAUAGACUACCAAAUACUGAAAAGUGGGUUGAGAAGGGAACUCUUAUCCUCAUGCAUCCUCAUACACCUUAUCAAACGCACCGAAAAACAAGGGCUCCGUCUUCCUUUUGGAUGGGCCGGAGGGGGUUAGAAUCCGACGUUUUUGAAAACCUCCUACAUUUUGUUCCAGUUUGCUAAAAAAUUAUGAUUUGGAUCGUUUGAUGGACCGAUACAAGUUCGUGUUGUAUGACUUCAGCGGAAUGUGGGUAAUUUAAGGAUCGGAGUUGAAGAUGUCGUUAGCCCUUUGCAAUUGCCAAAGCAUAGGCAUCAUCAUCCCUGCAGAACACAAUGACGAGCGGCCAAAGGAAGUGAUGGGAGUUUUCGGGAGGGAAAGCGGGCCAAAAGCUUGGCUCAUAUCCCCCUGUUCGUUUCUCUGCAGUAACGAGGACGAUCUUCAGGCAACCCGACGGCCCGGAUUUCCUCGAUGAGCCAAGCCCGGCACGCCGCCAGGAAGGGAGGUUGGAACCGAAACCCCAAAUCAAACAACAAACAGCUGCCAAAUAAUUAGAGAUCGAUUUGUGCAAGCAAACUAUUCCCAGCCGUCGCUGUACUGCGCCCUAGGAGAAAAAUCCACAGCGCUCUCUGAAAAUUCCAAGCUAUCUACCAACGGGGAAUCCAUCUAUCAACCUGGCUACUGGCCAGCCAUUAGUAUCUUCUUUUAGGCGAUCCGCUACGUAACUCGCACAGUGCAGGGAAGGCACACGCGACGUUCUUGUCCGAUCGUGGCAUCGAAUGGCAUCGGGAAAUUUAAACCCCUUCGUUGGCGUUAAGCAACUGCUACCGCUUCUGCGUCCUCUGCUUUCUCGCCGCACUUGCGCUCGUGGGCACCUCCUUACCCGGGCCUUCCGGAUUCCGGGAUGGCGAUCGCUCUGACAAAAGGAAAGGCGUGCCGAUCGGCCUCCUGGCGCUCUCCCGUUCGUACUUGGGCUCUGGUGAUCCCCGUGACCAACGCAGAUAGAUAGACACGAUGGAUGAUGCACCGAUGCACACGGCGUCACGGCACAAGUAGCGUCGUCGGGCCAACGCACACACUUGGAGGUGCCUAGCGCCGCGGCAUCGACGUGAUCGUGAUCGAUCUAUCGAUCGGGAGGAAGGUUCGCGUGCUCGAGGGAGGGGGCCGGCUUAUGUCAGCGCUCCGGUAAGGUUGGAUGGUGACAACUUCUAUGGUCUG